rnacentral:lncRNA from 1 species
GUUUGUAAUAUAUAAUAAAUAUUGAACUUCGCUUUCGUGUAUUAUCAUAUAUGCAUUGUUAUUUAACUGCGAAUACUUUUUAGAUUCGGUACAUCGAGUACCCGCUUAACGAAACGUCCGUGCAUAUACGUGAACUAUACUACGAACGAAAUUAUAUGUAUAUUUAUUAUAAAAAAAACCAUGAUUUAGAAAAGAAUUCCAAAUUAUAUGUCGCAGGAGA